ACUUAAAUUGAAGAGUUUGAUCAUGGCUCAGAUUGAACGCUGGCGGCAGGCCUAACACAUGCAAGUCGAGCGGUAGCACAGAGAGCUUGCUCUCGGGUGACGAGCGGCGGACGGGUGAGUAAUGUCUGGGAAACUGCCUGAUGGAGGGGGAUAACUACUGGAAACGGUAGCU
rnacentral:rRNA from 3 species